rnacentral:rRNA from 1 species
CCAGAGAACUUUCCAGAGAUGGAUUGGUGCCUUUCGGGAACUCUGAGACAGGUGCUGCAUGGCUGUCGUCAGCUCGUGUUGUGAAAUGUUGGGUUAAGUCCCGCAACGAGCGCAACCCUUUAUCCUUUGUUGCCAGCGGUUAGGCCGGGAACUCAAAGGAGACUGCCAGUGAUAAACUGGAGGAAGGUGGGGAUGACGUCAAGUCAUCAUGGCCCUUACGAGUAGGGCUACACACGUGCUACAAUGGCGCAUACAAAGAGAAGCGACCUCGCGAGAGCAAGCGGACCUCAUAAAGUGCGUCGUAGUCCGGAUUGGAGUCUGCAACUCGACUCCAUGAAGUCGGAAUCGCUAGUAAUCGUGGAUCAGAAUGCCACGGUGAAUACGUUCCCGGGCCUUGUACACACCGCCCGUCACACCAUGGGAGUGGGUUGCAAAAGAAGUAGGUAGCUUAACCUUCGGGAGGGCGCUUACCACUUUGUGAUUCAUGACUGGGGCGAAGUCGUAACAAGGUAAGCGUAGUGCU